GCAUCGGUGGUUCAGUGGUAGAAUGCUCGCCUGCUACGCGGGCAGCCCGGUUCAAUUCCCGGCCGAUGCA
rnacentral:tRNA from 1 species